UACGUAGGGGGCAAGCGUUGUCCGGAUUUAUUGGGCGUAAAGAGCGUGUAGGCGGCUGGGUAGGUCCGUUGUGAAAACUCGAGGCUCAACCUCGAGACGUCGGUUGAAACCGUCUGGCUAGAGUCCGGAAGAGGAGAGUGGAAUUCCCGGUGUAGCGGUGAAAUGCGCAGAUAUCGGGAAGAACACCCGUGGCGAAGGCGGCUCUCUGGGACGGUACUGACGCUGAGACGCGAAAGCGUGGGGAGCGAACAGG
rnacentral:rRNA from 1 species